AACACANUUCANAGCAAUGAUUAAUAUCAUAGUAUUCUGGAUGAAAUUUGCCCAAUGCCAUUAACAUAAAAGAGGUUAUGGGUGACUGUAACUGAUUGAAAGUCUGGUUAAUAGCGGUCUUAACUAUGAGGAUCCAAAGGUAGCAAAAUAAAUUGGCCAUUAAAUGUGGUCUGGUAUCAAUAGUGUAACGAUGGUCUCACUGUCUCUACAACUUGCUCAGUGAAAUUGAAUUACCCGUGCAGAUGCGGGUUGCCUCCAGGUGGACGGGAAGACCCUAUGCAGCUU
rnacentral:rRNA from 1 species